UGCGCGGUUCCUAUUUUUAUGAUAAAUCGCAUAUUAGGAGAAUAAUGAUGGCACUAAGUGCAGGAGAUAAAGCAAAAAUAAUUGAAGAAUAUCGGCUUGAGG
rnacentral:ncRNA from 1 species